AGCCGCGAGCGCCACCAGGGCAGCAGCCGCCGCAGCCGCCGCCGCUGGGCAGAGGAGCCGGAGACGCGGGCGGACGAGGUGGCGGCGGCGGCGGAGCGGGAGCGGGGACCGGGCGCGGGCAGAGCGCGGCGGCGCGGGUGUAUUCCAGAGAAUAAGUCUUCAAACACCUUUGCCAUAUUGUCUCUGAGCUGUCAGGGGACUCAGGCUUAUGAGGAGGUACUGUCACACAAAACAGUGUCUAGUGAAGACGACAAGAAAGUGGGGAAAGGACUGGAAAAAGAAGCUAAAACACUAUAGGAAACCAUGAGAUCUAUUAGAUCUUUUGCCAAUGAUGAUCGCCAUGUAAUGGUGAAACAUUCAACAAUCUAUCCAUCUCCAGAGGAACUUGAAGCUGUUCAGAAUAUGGUGUCUACUGUUGAAUGUGCUCUUAAACAUGUCUCAGAUUGGCUUGAUGAAACAAAUAAAGGCACAAAAGCAGAGGGUGAGACAGAAGUGAAGAAGGAUGAGGCCGUAGACACCUAUUCCAAGGAUCAAGGUGGUCGGACAUUGUGUGGUGUAAUGAGGAUUGGCCUGGUUGCAAAAGGCUUGCUGAUUAAAGAUGAUAUGGACUUGGAGCUGGUUUUAAUGUGCAAAGACAAACCCACAGAGACCCUGUUAAAUACAGUCAAAGAUAAUCUUCCUAUUCAGAUUCAGAAACUCACAGAAGAGAAAUAUGAAGUGGAACAAUGUGUAGAUGAGGCUUCUAUUAUAAUUCGGAAUACAAAAGAGCCCACGCUAACUUUGAAGGUGAUACUUACUUCCCCGCUAAUUAGAGACGAAUUGGAGAAGAAGGAUGGAGAAAAGGUUGCGAUGAAAGAUCCUCCGGACUUACUGGACAGGCAGAAAUGCCUGGACGCCUUGGCGUCUCUUCGACAUGCCAAAUGGUUUCAGGCAAGGGCAAACGGAUUAAAAUCAUGUGUAAUUGUCCUCCGCAUUCUGCGUGAUUUGUGCAACAGAGUUCCCACAUGGGCACCAUUAAAAGGAUGGCCACUAGAGCUUAUAUGUGAAAAGUCUAUAGGUACUUGUAAUAGACCUUUGGGCGCUGGGGAGGCCUUGAGACGAGUAAUGGAGUGUUUGGCAUCUGGAAUACUACUUCCUGGUGGUCCUGGUCUUCAUGAUCCUUGUGAGCGAGACCCAACAGAUGCUUUGAGCUAUAUGACCAUCCAGCAAAAGGAAGAUAUUACCCACAGUGCACAGCAUGCACUCAGACUAUCAGCCUUUGGCCAGAUUUACAAAGUGCUGGAGAUGGACCCCCUUCCAUCUAGUAAACCUUUUCAGAAAUAUUCCUGGUCAGUUACUGAUAAAGAAGGUGCUGGGUCUUCAGCUCUGAAGAGGCCAUUUGAAGAUGGAUUAGGGGAUGAUAAAGAUCCCAAUAAGAAGAUGAAACGAAACUUAAGGAAAAUUCUGGAUAGUAAAGCAAUAGAUCUUAUGAAUGCACUAAUGAGGCUAAAUCAGAUCAGGCCUGGGCUUCAAUAUAAGCUCUUAUCUCAGUCUGGCCCUGUCCAUGCCCCAGUCUUCACAAUGUCUGUAGAUGUGGAUGGUACAACGUAUGAAGCCUCAGGGCCAUCCAAGAAAACAGCAAAACUUCAUGUAGCAGUGAAGGUAUUACAAGCAAUGGGAUACCCAACGGGCUUUGAUGCAGAUAUUGAAUGUAUGAGUUCCGAUGAAAAGUCAGACAAUGAAGGCAAAAAUGAAACAGUGUCUUCAAACUCAAGCAAUAAUACUGGAAAUUCUACAACUGAAACCUCCAGUACCUUAGAGGUAAGAACUCAGGGCCCUAUCCUCACAGCAAGUGGCAAAAAUCCUGUAAUGGAGCUCAAUGAAAAAAGAAGAGGUCUUAAGUAUGAACUCAUCUCGGAGACUGGUGGAAGCCAUGACAAACGCUUUGUAAUGGAGGUAGAAGUAGAUGGACAGAAAUUCAGAGGUGCAGGUCCAAAUAAGAAAGUGGCAAAGGCAAGUGCAGCUUUAGCUGCCCUGGAGAAGCUGUUUUCUGGACCCAAUGCAGCAAAUAAUAAGAAAAAGAAGAUUAUCCCUCAGGCAAAGGGUGUUGUGAAUACGGCUGUGUCUGCAGCGGUCCAAGCUGUUCGGGGCAGAGGAAGAGGAACUCUAACGAGGGGAGCUUUUGUUGGGGCUACAGCUGCUCCUGGCUACAUAGCUCCAGGCUACGGAGCACCGUAUGGUUACAGCACCGCUGCCCCUGCCUAUGGUUAAUACUUUUAAGCAGUUUUCAGCACGUUUAUCUCACUUUAUUCUCGUUCUCCUCGGACCUUCGUAGCCAUAUCACUUGUAUAAAAUAGGCUGAGAUCUAGUGACUGUAAGCUGUGGUCUCAGUAAACAAAGGUAAGCUCUUUUAUUUUCUGAUUAAAGAGAAAAAGUCAAUGAACACAACGUGCAUAUAUGACAAUCAUACAGGAUGUAUUUGAUCUCUUAGGUCUUAUGUCAUCAUGAUUACCUUUAAAAUUUUUAUGAUCUAAAUGUAAAAUAGUUAUUUUCAGCAUUUGUUUUAAUACCCUUGUAAUUACUUUUUAUUCAAGAGAGACAUUUCACUUUUACAAGUUAAAUGUGUAUAUGUGUGUAGAAACUUAUGAUAUAACAUAUAUGUGAAUUACACACACCUGUUUAAGUAAAAGAGUUUGGUGGUGGGAAGAGUCACCUAAGAAGACUUUAACGUCAGGGCACUCUUUGGGCCAAAGUGCUAGAAUUUCAUAAGCAGCAAGAUUGGUAACAAUGCUGGUAGGGUCCAUUUAUAUGUAGCUGUUACACAAGCAGAGGAUCAAAGUGCCAAUUUCUCAAGGAGAGAAAUUUCUCUGAGAAAUGCAAAUCUCUGAUCUGUGUUGUAUGCCCAAUACAACAGCAGUAAGAAGCCAUAAAAAGAAAAAGCAAUAGAAAAUUUAAAAAAAAAAAACCAAAAUAUUAAGGUAACUAUGGAAAAAUAAUAUGUCAUUGACUGUCAUUAAGCUAACUAUUUGCAGAACCAACUCUGGCAAGACUCAGAAUGGUAAAUACCCAGUCUGCAGAGACCAAAUAGACUUCAGGCAAUUCAUCGAGCUUUUUCCAAGGUCAGGUAGCUAGACGAUUAAUUUCCCACCUUCCUCAACCAUCAUGGAGUUCAUUUACAAGAUGUGAGGGUUAGGCCAAAUAUUUUAAUAAGGAUUUGCUUCAUUUAGUGUGUCCCAUAAGUACAUUUCAUAUGUGAUAGAUGUUCUGUGCUGAGGCCGUAUUUCAUAUAUAUAGAGAUUAAAAUGAAAUUUCGUGUUUUAUGUGUCUCUCAGUAGCGGUUUUCUUUUUAUUACUAACUUUGAAGGUUGCUGGAACAACGUUUCUCCCAUACAGAAUCUGUAUGUAUGUCAAACGUGGCUUUGGCACCCAUAAAAGGUUGUAUGAGGCCUAGCUGAUGAGGACUACGUAGGUUCCCGUUCUCAUCCAACAGCGGAGUGUCCGUUAUGUGCCAGAUCCUUCUCCGGGCACUAGCAAAACAGAGGCUCUGCCCAGUGAAAGCAUUUUAAGUCUGAGAGUGUCCUUGUUGGUGAAAUUGGGUUGAUUAUAAAUAUCCUACGUUGGGAGACAGAUGAUGCAUUAGCAGUGUCAAAGGAUAAUGACCUUGAUCAGCAGUUUAUUUAUACAUUAUUUAGUAAUAUAGGCCCUCUGACACCACUGAAAUGGCCAUCAUUUGGAAAUUCACUCAUUUUAAAUAUUUCCCUGGCAGUUUUGAGAGCCUGAAACCAACUCUGUUUUAUGUUCCUGGACCUCUCUCCAAAAGCGCUGCCAUUAGACGCGUCCCUUUCCCUGACCAGGACGGCAUCUCACGCUCAGACCAGCCCUGGGCCAUCAGGUAGGGUUCGCACUGCACCCCUACUUCAUAGAGGGAACACUGGGAGCUACCUGUUCCCUCGCUCACUUAAUGCAGUGGUUUUUCAGCACCUGGCCGGGCUAUGGCUACGUGGGAGGUGGCUUAGCUGCCAUUUUUUGCUACCUUUCUUGGAGAGGAAGGCUUGUUUCUAGAAACUCAGCUGGGGAGCCAAACCGUAGGCAACCUCAAGGCCCCGACUAGGGCCUUAGUUUUGACACCUCCUAGGAAUCCCAGGCAGCUGUCGCCCGUGCAGUCUCCCAACUCCAGAUGUACUUCCUCUCCUGGGGCUUGAGCAAACAAAAUGAAUGCUUGCUUGACGGGGGAGUGCUCUGCCUUUGUUCCUCUUGACUUCUAGUGAGGCACAAGCCCCUUCAUUUGGUAAAUCUUACGUACAUUAGCCCUCAGCAGCGCUUACCCCAAAGUGUUUUGUACUCAGGCCUUUCACCAGGGACCCAUCCGCUGGCCUCUUGUGCUGAACAUCUUGUCCAAGUGGCUUGUGGCUUUAGGAGAGGACAGUCUCCUGAGAGAACCCUAAUUAUUAGGGUGAGGACACUUCUGGGGGCAGUGAAGCUGAUGGGCCUGGCUCGGCCUGUUAGCUCCACAGCCCGCCCACCCUGGUCUCCGUGCCAUGUGGCAUUACCAGAGAGUGGCCUGUAGGACUUGUCACCCACUCCAUGCAGAACUCCUGGUCUGGGGACGAGGCAGCUAGCUCAGAACUAAGGCCCAGAUCUAUUCGAGAGGGGGCUUCUCUCAUAAAGGAGCAAGGUGGCCCUGCUCGGCCUCAGCCCCUGGGGUGGGGAGUCCAGGAGGCAUGGAGAAGGCCGAGUGUAGUUGUGGGUAGAAAACCUUUCCCUACUGCACGGUUACACACAUGACAUUGGACUCCUGGCUAUGGCUUACUCUCACUCUGGUCUGGUGAUGGCCAAGGUAGUUUUUUAGGUAUCAACUGAAAAUAUCUAUCUAUCUGUAUAUCUAUUUACUGUGUUUUGUUUUGUUUUUUUUUUCUGAAUACGCAAGUGUAAAUAGUAUCAUUUGCAGUGCAAAGUCCUUGGCAAUAACUUUACGUUGUGUAUCACGUUGAAAAAAUUGGCAAAUGCGACCACCAUGGAUUGUCCUUCCCGUCUGGGGCAAUGAUUACAUGUAGGACUCUGAACUUUAAACCUUCGGCGUGGUUGAAGCAGCAGCCUGCAUGUGUGGACUGUCACCAGUGCCUCGUCCAGGAUGCCUGGCCUUCAUCCAAAGGGACUCUCUGCCGCCCCAGCGCCCACACUGUGGCUCCUUCGCACUGACUAUGUCGGACUCUGCCGUAGACUGGUCCUCUUGUCUGGCUGCUGCAGUCUGUCUGUAAUGCUCUGACAUGUUGCAUUCUCCCCAUUUGGAUGAAUAAAAAUAAAAGCUUCUGUCUUCAA